rnacentral:rRNA from 1 species
UGGGGAAUAUUGCACAAUGGGGGAAACCCUGAUGCAGCGACGCCGCGUGAAGGAAGAAGUAUCUCGGUAUGUAAACUUCUAUCAGCAGGGAAGAAAAUGACGGUACCUGACUAAGAAGCCCCGGCUAACUACGUGCCAGCAGCCGCGGUAAAACGUAGGGUGCAAGCGUUGUCCGGAAUUACUGGGUGUAAAGGGAGCGCAGGCGGGAAGACAAGUUGGAAGUGAAAACCAUGGGCUCAACCCAUGAAUUGCUUUCAAAACUGUUUUUCUUGAGUAGUGCAGAGGUAGAUGGAAUUCCCGGUGUAGCGGUGGAAUGCGUAGAUAUCGGGAGGAGCACCAGUGGCGAAGGCGGUCUACUGGGCACCAACUGACGCUGAGGCUCGAAAGCAUGGGUAGCAAACAGGAUUAGAUACCCUGGUAGUCCAUGCCGUAAACGAUGAUUACUAGGUGUUGGGGGAUUGACCCCCUCAGUGCCGCAGUUAACACAAUAAGUAAUCCACCUGGGGAGUACGACCGCAAGGUUGAAACUCAAAGGAAUUGACGGGGGCCCGCACAAGCAGUGGAGUAUGUGGUUUAAUUCGAAGCAACGCGAAGAACCUUACCAGGUCUUGACAUCCGAUGCAUAACACAGAGAUGUGUGAAAUCCUUCGGGACAUCGAGACAGGUGGUGCAUGGUUGUCGUCAGCUCGUGUCGUGAGAUGUUGGGUUAAGUCCCGCAACGAGCGCAACCCUUAUUGCCAGUUACUACGUUAAGAGGACUCUGGCGAGACUGCCGUUGACAAAACGGAGGAAGGUGGGGAUGACGUCAAAUCAUCAUGCCCUUUAUGACCUGGGCUACACACGUACUACAAUGGCGUUAAACAAAGAGAAGCAAGACCGCGAGGUGGAGCAAAACUCAAAAACAACGUCUCAGUUCAGAUUGCAGGCUGCAACUCGCCUGCAUGAAGUCGGAAUUGCUAGUAAUCGCGGAUCAGCAUGCCGCGGUGAAUACGUUCCC